GCAGGAGUGGCGGAAUUGGCAUACGCGCAUGACUAAGGAUCAUGUUCCUUACGGAUUGAGGGUUCAAAUCCCUCCUCCUGCA
rnacentral:tRNA from 1 species